UUUUCGUUGUAAAGAGUUUCGUUAUAAAGAGUUUUCACUGUAGUUCAAUAUUCUGUGCAGAAUUUUGAAAUUUUUAAUUUGUUUUAGUUAUUUUACCGAUAACAACAAUAGUAAAGAUAUAAAAGUUAGGAAAACAAUACCCUAAGUAGUAUAAAUUACUUGUAAGCAUAAGAUAAUGAUUAUAUCUGCAUAAUUUAAUACAGUUAAUAAGUAGUGUGCCUAGAAAUAUUCAUUCAUUUUAUUUGGGAAAGUGUAUAAUGAUUGAAUAACAUUGCAUAGUGAUAUAUAUACUAAGUACCAACCAAAUGGUUAAUACUAAUAUUUUAACUUUUAUAUAGCUAUUGUAAGUACAUAGGUAUCUGAACUAUAAUGUAUCAAUAAAUUAUUUUUUUAUGAUAACUUGUCAUUGCUCUGAAACCAAUAGGAAGUAUAAAUUGUAUUCAUUACUUGUUAUUUUAUUUGAGAAAGUACGGAAAUAACAUAAUAAUAUUCUGUGUUAUUCUUAACACAGAAUACCUCAAUUUUUAAAUAAUUUUUUAAUUUGCAUAUGUUUAUUUAUUUCAGUUACAAGACAACUGUUUUUUCAAUGCUUUUGCACCACCUUACCCUUUCGAAGAAACUGAACAGAAGUAAAUAUGAGUAUAUAUUCUUAAAUUUAUAUACUAAGUAAUAUUUUUUGUUUCCGUGUAGUAAUUAAUCAUAUUAUAUAAAAUAAAUUGUAUUUAAUUAUGAAUUUGAUUAUCCACAAUAAAAUAAUUUAAUUAGGUAAUGUAUAAGUUUUAUUUAUUUUUCAUUUGAUGUUAUUUCUAGUAGCUCCUGUUAACUAUUGACCAUAUUUGGUCAGUUAAUAGUUAUAACUAUCAACUAUCCAGAAAAAAAAUGUAACAGUCCUGUUAGUUUCUAAUAAGACAUUUUGGCAUAAAUACUAUCCUCAUCACAUAAUGGAUGUUGUCAAAAUAGUUAAUAGAGUUUGAGAAAACAAUUUAAUGUGAUUUGAGCUUUAUGGUACAUACUUCUGCUACCAAAAUAGAAAUAAUUGUCCAACUCUUUUAGCAUAAGAUAUAAUUUAAAGUAUCUUCACGUAGGUCAGAAAAGAAUGCAAAAUCCCAGACAAUCUAUACAAAGCCAUAGGACCCUAUGAUGAUACACAAAACAUAAUGAAAAAAAAAAAUCAAAAAAUGAAAUGUAUACCUAACUUAAUUUAAUUUUAAUUCAUUACUAUUAUUUUAAGGUAAUAACCUUGUAGUUGAUGCUGUAACAAUAAAAAAAAUUUUUUAAGUAGGUUCUUAAUUUAUAUUUUUUUUAUUGAAAAUAACUUAUUUAAAUUGCUAUUUUUUUUAUAAAAUGUAGGUAGUCCAGUAGUCCACAUAGAAGCUGUACUUUUUACUAUGGUAAACUGAAUAGUGAAAGAUAACCCUUAAAUGACUACUAUUAAAAACAACACAUAAAUAUCAAUCUCAUAUUCUUAUUACUUUCAUUUAUACAUUUUGGACAUCAAGGGAAAAAAUUGAAAACUUAAUAUUGGAAUGAAUAAUCGAUGAAGGCUGUUGCCCCCUUCAGCUCGUCAAUUUAAUUACAGUUAAUAGUUACAGAUUUGUAUAAACCAGUUUUAAUUUAACGUGUACCAGGUACCUGUUAUUUUUCAUAUUAACUAAAAGAAUCUUUAGUAAUAACAAUAGAUAUUUAUUGUAUAUAAGUUAUUAAUUCAUUAGAUAACUAUCUAAUUACUUAUGUUAAAAGCUUUUUAAAUAAAUGGCCACAAUAGCAUACAAAUACAUUUAAAAUUGUGUACAUUAUAAUAUAAAUAGUACAAUUAUUAUUUAUUAACUUGAUACAUUUUCAAUAAUUUUACAAUCCUUCAAAACUCCGAGGAUCACUAUUUAAUGUUUUACACUUCCCCUAAUAAACUUUAGAUAUAGUAGGUAAAACAUAUUUUUUAUAUUUUGUCCCUCCCCCUCCCCCUUAUUACAAUUAACUCCAUGUUAUGUCACCAGCUUUGGUUUUACUUGUAUAAUUGUUUAAUGUAAAAUGUAAACAUAUUAAAUCUUAAUUAAUAUUCUGUUACCUACUCAAUAAUUGAAAUAUAGGAUAUUAGAAUAACAAUAAUGUAAUAUGAAUGUAUUAUGAUGAAUUAUAUUGUCACUCGUCUUAAAUAUAGUUAGGUUAUUGUAUAUUAUAACUAUAUAAGUCAUGCUUAAACUUAAGGUACAAAACAGUUAUAGGUACCAUCUAAUACAGUACAAUAAUAAUAUAAUGUUUAACAAUAAUUAUUAAUAACAGGACAAAAAAAAUCAAGUCUGGUUAUUAAAAAAAACCUUAUUGUGUCCUCUUAAGUAUAUAAUUAAUAAUUUUUAUUAUAAAAUAUUACUGUGUUACAUAUUUUUUUUUAUAAUUCUAUGAAAAGGAAUUAAGUAGUAGUUGUUAUUGUAAAUAGGUACUUAUGAUUAAAUGAAUAAAAUGCAUAGGCCUAUGUAUACUCAAGUGGCAAGUAUGGUUUUAACAUAAUAGGUAAGUGACAUACUUUAUUUAUUACUGGAAGAUAUAUGAUUAUUAGCUAUGUUUUAUAGAAUUAUAGUAACUUAAAACAAUAGAUCUUAAAAAAAAAAAAAA